rnacentral:tRNA from 1 species
GAAUUUUUAGUAUAAGUUGUAUAACUAACUGUUGAUUAGUGGGUUUAUGAAUUCU